UACAGAGGGUGCGAGCGUUAAUCGGAAUUACUGGGCGUAAAGUGUGCGCAGGCGGCCGAGCAAGUCGAGUGUGAAAGCCCCGAGCUUAACUUGGGAACUGCGCUCGAAACUACUUGGCUAGAGUGUGGCAGAGGGAGGUGGAAUUCCACGUGUAGCGGUGAAAUGCGUAGAGAUGUGGAGGAACACCGAUGGCGAAGGCAGCCUCCUGGGCCAACACUGACGCUCAUGCACGAAAGCGUGGGGAGCAAACAGG
rnacentral:rRNA from 1 species